UUGUUCUGUAGUUUCCUCUGGCUGACACAAAGCAAAACACAUGGACGAAUUUGUAAAUGAAAAACCAAAACUUUUAAUAGCCUAAACGAAAAGAACAUAAACCCUAGCAGUAGCUAAGCCUCAGAUGAUAAACCCAUUUGGACACAGCUGCUAAAAAGCUUACACAAUCAAUUGAAUUAGACGAAACCCAACACGGAUUUUUGUAGAAAUUUUGAAAGGCGGUCCCUUUUCCAUAGAAUUAUCGAACCCGUCAAUUGAAAACGAAAGAAAACUCAAGAACAAAAGCAAAGUCCAAAAUGAAAGCUGUUCCAAAAAGGUUAAGAAGUAAAAAGUAGAAAGGAAGGAGAAAAGGAAACCUGUGAUUACUUGAUGGAACUGAA